AGAAAAUCAUCAUGAUUUCAAACAUACAAAUAUGAAUGAAAAGAACUAAUGCAGUGAUGAAAAUGAUGAGUAGUGUUAUCUGCUGAACUCUGAACUGCUCUUUCCAAGGCAGUUUAUUGAUCACUUUUGUGAGACCGUCUUUUCAUGGAGACAAAGGAGGAGUGGCAAGGCAUCACACUGGCGCACAAAACAUGAGCAAGGAGAGGAACCAGGAGGUCCUGUGCAGUGACAUUCAACAUAGGAAUAUGCUACCCAAGCAUCACUCGCCUACUUGGCAGAAAGGCCACAAGGAAGCACUUACGUAUCCUUAUACGGCAGCAGAAGGAUUGGAUAAUCAAAAAUCACCCCAGCCACAGCUCUAAAGGCACACAACUACCCAUUUGGAAACCAACUCCAAUUACCUCAUGCACCUUUAAAGCUCCAGUCACAAAGGUGAUUUGAGUAUAUCAUUAUUUACAUGGCAUGAGAGGCUCCGGCCAAGAACAAGCAACUGGGCUACCAGUGUCAACCGCAGCAUGAGGUACCUACAGAUCCUCCUCACACAAGCCUACACCAGGGAAGUAUUCCUGAAGCUUUACGCCUCAGCGUUUUCCCAGUUCAUACAGCUGUUCAAAACUCUGAGGACCUCUAAAAUGAAGUGACAUGCAUUUUUAUUUGAAGAAGCACUUCUCAUUAUUACUCCUUUUCUAGAAGUGGAACAUAUCCUGAGGUGGAAUUUUUAACAUAUUCAUGAUGAUACCUUUGCUUUUACAUUCUCUUGGGAGCGAGACUGCCUACAAUGGAAAGGAGGAGAGAAAAGAUUAAUUCUUUCACAGUAGGAAACAAAUAAAAGGAAUAUUAUGAUUUUUCCGGUCCCUUUCAAAAAAUAUGGAAAGAAAUUCUUUAUGCAACAGAGAACGCAUUGGGUAUUUGCAAAAAAAAAAGUAUAUAUUUUUCUUAGUCAUUUGUAAUAAAAUAUAACAAAUGCAUUUAGAAGAGUGUAAACUUUUAUAAUUUUUUUUUCUAUUUAGAAUUUGCUUUUACUUUCAAUGCAUCCAGUAUCUGAGUACUCUGGCAACCACAGCCCCGGAAAAGUGUUCUCUGUGUAAAUCAAGGGUAUUUGAUUAUCAGUUUAUUAACUGUUUGUGAUAUUUGAGCUCUGUUGGAAUGUAUCUGUGAUGUAUCUGCCCUUGACUACUUUUUCUCCAGCUUGCACGCCUGGCUGGUCAUGGAGAGAAGGGCUGUAAUCUUUGCCCUGAGCCUGCAAGCCUCAAGUGUUUCUUCUGAACACAUUGGGUUUGUUUAGGAAACUACCAAGGCAACUAACACACAUCUUUCCUGAAGGACAGGUGGAACUGGAAAGCUGUAGAAAUAUGAAAGCUUCAGGCAUGAAGCCAGCGUCAGCAAUGUGUGCUCUCACCACCCGUUUGAGCUAGGAGGAGAAGAAACCUGUGCUGUCCUAAUGCUGCAAAGAGGGAGCUCCCCAGCACUGGUUAGUCACUGGGUUUUCUGCUUUCCUCUCUCCUUUUUUAUUCCCCUACAAUUCCCCCCUCCCCUCAAAGCAGCCUGCAUCUGCAGCCACACAGGGAAGCAAAAAAGGGGUGGCAAAAAAAGUAUUUCCAUCAACCAUCCUGACUCUUGCAUUUUCUUCCAAAAUGAGGCAUGACUAGGAGCACUAUAUUGCACAGAACUGAUGAUGAGAACAGAAAGAAAUGGUAAUUCUUAUAGAUGGACAUUUUUUUGUGGUAGUGACUUCACAAUGGACAGGUUUUUUCCCAUUCAAAUCCAGUCGUGUGGAAAAGAGAUACUCAUGGCAAACAAUAACAAGGAAUUAAUUUGUAUCAGUUUAAUUCAGGAAAUCGGUAGUGACUUGAAAGUCUGACUCAUACUGAUUCCCAGGAAACAUUGUCUGAGCAGAAUACCAGCAUCUUCAAAAACACGGGGUUAAAAAAUAUAUUUAUUUUCACUAGGCAGUUUCCCUUAGGCUUUCACAUCUGAAAUUUUGAAGUAUAAGAAAUGUUUCUUUGAAAUAAUUGGAGGAAAAGAAUUCAUGAAACUAUACAUAUUCAUAGAGAAAGAGAGAGUGUGUUGAAAUAAAAGGAAGAACAAGGCUACCGAAGUGUUCCUAAAAGCUAGAACAGGUCUAUAAAUUCAAUUAAGUGUUGAGUGGCAGCAAAAGAAUUCACUAGGCUGACAAAUUAGCAAUAACUAGUACAUAGGACAUACAGCCACAAAACUCUUGCUUGCUUGAUUAAUCUUAAGAGUAAAAGAAAAGAAGAAAAAAAAGAAAAAAAGAGAAAGUAUAUCUAAAGAAAACACAGAAAAUACAAGAAAUUCUGCCAAGAUGACUGGGAAUAUUGAAAUGCUACGUGGCUUUCCAAUAACAACAUGGGUUAGGCUUGGCUAUGUUAUUCAUUUGCUUGAAGUUAAGCACAUGCUUAAGUUCUGUGCCAAGUGGAGGCCUAAAUAGUAUCUGCUAAAUAUUGGCUUAAAAACUGCCAUCUGUAUGGCACGCGUUCCUGCACACGUCUUUCUCCCUUUCCCCUCCUUGUAGCCACAGCAUUGGCUGCAGAGAGCCCUGUGUCUGAAAAAAAAGCCCCACCUGACCACAGUAAAUGGGCUGACGUGGAUCAUCUGGUCUCCACAGGUUUUUAUUCAUCCCCAGAAAGAAUUUUGCAGCUCAAUUGUUAUUGAUAAGUAAUCACCAGGCUCACUGACAGAUGGGAUGUGGAUAGCUUUAUAGCCACUGCAAAGCAUUACAGUAGAUAAGAUUACUCUAAGCCAUUAUUUCCUUCUUAAUAGCUUGCUCAAUAUUUUAUCACAAUGAAAAGGUUCACCACUCAGCAAUAAUAAGAUAUAAUUAACUCUUGUUGCCACGGUGGCACAGACUAUAAAUAUUGUGUGGCGUCCAUGUGUUUCUAGACGACAGCCAGAUUUAGAGAUUUGAGCUGGAUGAAAUACUGUUUCUAUCUCUGAUUGCAUUAGCUUGAAGUCCUGGAAGAUGUAUUCCAGAUGUGCUGUGCUAGCAUGAUUAUUUUAUUAAAGUGCAGAAAGAUUUUAGGAGCAACACCCUGAUUAAUUAGUUUGUAGUCUCCAUGAAGUUUUUUUCUUUUAUUUCUGUCUGAAUUAGUGAUACUUUGUUAUCACAUUAGUUUCAUCCACUUGUCAUAGUUGGUGAGAGAGCUGUCAUCUUCUGGCAAGUGAUCAUCUAUUCAUCUACAUCUCCGGGCCUCUUUAUGCAUUGAUGCUGAUUCAAAGGUAACAAAAGGAAAUCUUCAGGUGGAACCUCAGUAAACUCAGUGAAGAUUAUUUAUAAGCUAGCAUGUCAAAGCUGCUCAAUGCAGUGUACAGAGACUCUCAAUUUUCCUAUGUACACAUAUUCACAUGAAGUGCAUAUUCUCUAUAUUUGUUAUUUAUGUGUACGUGUCUGUAUAGACACAACUGCUAAUAUUAAAGAUGCAGAAUAAAGUUGAAGACUGUAAAGGCUGACGGUUUUGUUUAUAUUUCAUUUUGAAGCUGAUGGCUGGAUGAGCAUGAAUUUUUCUUUUUUGUUUGUAUUUCUGUAUUUAUCCCAAAAGCAUAUUAAAGAGACAGUUCCCCUUCAUUUCUACUUUGAAUGCGUCUGGUGCCCUCAAGUGAAACCACUGACUCAUGCUCCUUCAAAAGCCUCAGGUGAUCAUUAAUUCAGGAAACUAGAUGCAAGAGAAAAUACUUGGCUUUUCUGUCUUGAAGGAAGUUAAAAUAAAAAUCCUCGGCCACAGGACUGUCUUCUCAUAACACAUUCCAAAGACUGUCUUUCUUUCUAUUUGUUGGCCUGCAACGCGUUAUAGCAAAGUAUUUUUCGCUAUGUCUGCUUCAUGCAAUCAAAGCAAAGUUGCUAUAUCUUACACAUCAUGUCAAACACACCUCAGAGAUGGCUGCUACAGAGCACUUCUGCAGGGAAGCCAGGCGGAUCACGCCUCCCAAGUUGUACUUCAACUGUUUUAUUUUCAUCAUUCUUUUCCCAGAUCUUUGCCAGACCUGAGAAACUGAAAAAAAACUUUCUUAUUCCAAGAUUACUCUAAGAAAAAAAAUAUUGACACGACCUUAAAAUAGUUAGUAUUUUUAAUACAAUGAAAAUCAUUUAUUCACUUCCUAUUUUUUAUACUAGUUGCAAUAGCACAGUAGCUUAAGUGUUGCAGUGUCUCUCUCAGCGACCUGCGGGUUUCAGGUUCUCCUGUUCUCAUAUAUAUGAGAAAAAGAAAUUAACAGAGAGCAACCAAGACUUGUCCUUCCUUCAGAGUUUUUGCUCAUCAUUUUCAUGGAAGACUUGUCUUAGUGCUGAAACCACGAUUAGAAGUUUUCCCAUGUAAAUCCUGUACCAACUCCUACUUACUGGUGGAAGUGGCAUCUUUCCCUCUCCUACUUCAGCCAGUAAUAAUACAGAAGUGGCAAUUGGGGAUUCUCCUCUUAAAAGUAGUAUGCCCUGAA